rnacentral:rRNA from 1 species
CUCGUAGGCGGUUCGUCGCGUCCGGUGUGAAAGUCCAUCGCUUAACGGUGGAUCCGCGCCGGGUACGGGCGGGCUUGAGUGCGGUAGGGGAGACUGGAAUUCCCGGUGUAACGGUGGAAUGUGUAGAUAUCGGGAAGAACGCCAAUGGCGAAGGCAGGUCUCUGGGCCGUUACUGACGCUGAGGAGCGAAAGCGUGGGGAGCGAACA